rnacentral:rRNA from 1 species
AUGUCUUUUGAGAAGAUGAGUAAAGUCUUUCCUGAUGUAAUGUGUGGGGUGGAUAAGAACAAGCUUGUGUGUGAUGCAUGUGAGUUUGCUAAACACACAAGGACAUCUUAUGUGAGUAAGGGUCUUAGGAGUAUUUCCCCUUUUAUGCUUGUUCACUCAGAUGUGUGGACAUGUCCUGUUAUCUCUCUAAGUGGAAUGAAGUACUUUGAUACAUUCAUUGAUUGCUAUACUCGUAUGACAUGGGUGUAUCUUAUGAAGCAUAAGGAUGAGGUUUUUAAAUGCUUUCAGUAUUUCUAUGCUUAUGUGAAAAAUCAGUUCAAUACACAGAUACAGAUGAUCAGGACAGAUAAUGGGACAGAGUAUGUGAAUAAGGAGUUUGUCACAUUCCUAUCAAGUCAAGGUAUAUUGCACCAAACAUCUUGUCCGGGUACACCACCUCAAAACGGAGUAGCUGAGAGGAAGAAUCGCCAUAUUUUGGAGGUUGCUCGGUCAUUAAUGUAUACAAUGAAUGUGCCAAAAUUCUUGUGGAGUGAGGCUGUAAUGACAGCUACAUUCCUCAUCAACCGAAUGCCGUCAAGGGUGAUUGGAAUGAAGUCGCCAUGUGAGAUGUUACUAGGUGAGAACAAAUUCUUAGUUCCUCCUAAGGUAUUUGGAUGCACCUGCUUUGUCCGGGAUCAUAGACCCUCAGUGGGAAAAUUGGAUCCACGAGCAGUAAAGUGCAUCUUCAUAGGUUACCCAUCUGGUCAGAAGGGAUACAAGUGUUGGAGUCCCAGCGAGCGGAGAACAUUUGUGAGCAUGGAUGUGACAUUCAGGGAGUCUGAACCGUUUUAUGGAGAAAAAACGGAUCUCAGCUCGUUAUUUGACUUCGACUCUCCUAGCAUGAGUGGUGCUAGUCGAGAGGGCGGGAGUGAACCACCAAGGACAAAGGAAGAUGAACCACCGAGAGUUGUGGUUAGUUCAAUUCCAUGUCAUGCAAGGGAAGAGAGAUGGAGAAAGCCAAAUGAGGAAGAAAAUCUAAGGGUGUAUACCAGGAGGCAACCUAUGACUGAAGAGAAAUGGAGAAAGCCAAAUGAGGAAGAAAAUUUAAGGGUCUAUACCAGGAGGCAACUACAAGAUGAGCAGCAACAACAACAAUCUCCAAUAGCAAGUGACACACAUGUGCAGGGGGAGCAACAGGCUCCAACAAGUGUUGAAAUUGUUGAAUUGUCUGAUGGUGAGACAUGUGCCACUCCAACUCCAUCUAAUGUAAACGAUUCAAUGAACUUGCCUAUUGCCUGGAGGAAAGGAACCCGAGUUGGAGCUGGAAAACCUCCAGAGAGGUAUGGUUUUGAGCAUGACAUAGCUAAUUACGUAUCAUAUACAUCUCUGUCUCCGAGAUACAAAGCAUUCAUUGCAUCAUUGCAAUCUGUGGUGACUCCAAGAGAUUGGAAAAUGGCAAAGCAGGAUCCAAAGUGGUACGAGGCAAUGUUGGAGGAAAUGAGAGCACUUGAAAAGAACAAGACAUGGGAUAUUGUACCUCUUCCAGCAGGAAAAUGA